GGGUGGGGCAGGGAGGGGCCGAGAACUCCGGGCGGGGCCCCGCCUCCUCUCGCGAGACUGUAGACAGCCGCUCCCGGGUCGCCUCUUUCGAAACCUUGCUGGAGGGGUGGGGGUGUUCCCUUGGGUACCUCGAACCCGUGAUCGACCCCCCCUCCUCUGAGUCUAGCUACCCAAAUAAAUCUGAAAUAGGGCUGCCAGGAGGAGUGAAUAGGCCCGAACCUCUGUCCCUCUGCCGCGCGGGCCUGGGACCCGCUCUCCUGAGGGCGGAAAGGGUGCAAAGCCGAGCUGACUCCGGGCCCACCCCCGAGGGUCGAGGCCCUGGGAGGACUUCGAUUCCCAGUGUGCGAGAGCCAGCCACAAGACUCAAGCAUAAAAGAGAUAGGACUAUUUUCCAAGCAACCUACGUUUAAAAGAAAUGCGUACUGAUUUAUGCCUUAUGUUACGUUCUGUAUUCAUAGAUUAUACACAAACUCAUAGGGAGCAAAAUAUGAUUUUAUUUAAUUUAUACAUCAUAUUGGACAACAAUGCUCAAUAAAAAUAAAAUGUCCUCUUCUAAACA
rnacentral:lncRNA from 1 species